AUUGAACGCUGGCGGCAUGCCUUACACAUGCAAGUCGAACGGCAGCAUGGAGAGCUUGCUCUCUGAUGGCGAGUGGCGAACGGGUGAGUAAAGCAUCGGAACGUACCGUGUAGUGGGGGAUAACGUAGCGAAAGUUACGCUAAUACCGCAUACGCACUGAGGUGGAAAGCAGGGGAUCGUAAGACCUUGCGCUAUACGAGCGGCCGAUGUCAGAUUAGCUAGUUGGUAGGGUAAAGGCCUACCAAGGCGACGAUCGGUAGCGGGUCUGAGAGGAUGAUCCGCCACACUGGGACUGAGACACGGCCCAGACUCCUACGGGAGGCAGCAGUGGGGAAUUUUGGACAAUGGGGGCAACCCUGAUCCAGCCAUGCCGCGUGAGUGGAGAAGGCCUUCGGGUUGUAAAGCUCUUUCGGCCGGGAAGAAAUCGCACAGGCUAAUACCCUGUGUGGAUGACGGUACCGACAUAAGAAGCACCGGCUAACUACGUGCCAGCAGCCGCAGUAA
rnacentral:rRNA from 1 species